AAAUUGAAGAGUUUGAUCAUGGCUCAGAUUGAACGCUGGCGGCAGGCCUAACACAUGCAAGUCGAACGGUAGCACAGAGAGCUUGCUCUCGGGUGACGAGUGGCGGACGGGUGAGUAAUGUCUGGGAAACUGCCUGAUGGAGGGGGAUAACUACUGGAAACGGUAGCUAAUACCGCAUAAUGUCGCAAGACCAAAGAGGGGGACCUUCGGGCCUCUUGCCAUCAGAUGUGCCCAGAUGGGAUUAGCUAGUAGGUGGGGUAACGGCUCACCUAGGCGACGAUCCCUAGCUGGUCUGAGAGGAUGACCAGCCACACUGGAACUGAGACACGGUCCAGACUCCUACGGGAGGCAGCAGUGGGGAAUAUUGCACAAUGGGCGCAAGCCUGAUGCAGCCAUGCCGCGUGUAUGAAGAAGGCCUUCGGGUUGUAAAGUACUUUCAGCGGGGAGGAAGGUGUUGUGGUUAAUAACCACAGCAAUUGACGUUACCCGCAGAAGAAGCACCGGCUAACUCCGUGCCAGCAGCCGCGGUAAUACGGAGGGUGCAAGCGUUAAUCGGAAUUACUGGGCGUAAAGCGCACGCAGGCGGUCUGUCAAGUCGGAUGUGAAAUCCCCGGGCUCAACCUGGGAACUGCAUUCGAAACUGGCAGGCUAGAGUCUUGUAGAGGGGGGUAGAAUUCCAGGUGUAGCGGUGAAAUGCGUAGAGAUCUGGAGGAAUACCGGUGGCGAAGGCGGCCCCCUGGACAAAGACUGACGCUCAGGUGCGAAAGCGUGGGGAGCAAACAGGAUUAGAUACCCUGGUAGUCCACGCCGUAAACGAUGUCGAUUUGGAGGUUGUGCCCUUGAGGCGUGGCUUCCGGAGCUAACGCGUUAAAUCGACCGCCUGGGGAGUACGGCCGCAAGGUUAAAACUCAAAUGAAUUGACGGGGGCCCGCACAAGCGGUGGAGCAUGUGGUUUAAUUCGAUGCAACGCGAAGAACCUUACCUGGUCUUGACAUCCACAGAACUUUCCAGAGAUGGAUUGGUGCCUUCGGGAACUGUGAGACAGGUGCUGCAUGGCUGUCGUCAGCUCGUGUUGUGAAAUGUUGGGUUAAGUCCCGCAACGAGCGCAACCCUUAUCCUUUGUUGCCAGCGGUUAGGCCGGGAACUCAAAGGAGACUGCCAGUGAUAAACUGGAGGAAGGUGGGGAUGACGUCAAGUCAUCAUGGCCCUUACGACCAGGGCUACACACGUGCUACAAUGGCGCAUACAAAGAGAAGCGACCUCGCGAGAGCAAGCGGACCUCAUAAAGUGCGUCGUAGUCCGGAUUGGAGUCUGCAACUCGACUCCAUGAAGUCGGAAUCGCUAGUAAUCGUAGAUCAGAAUGCUACGGUGAAUACGUUCCCGGGCCUUGUACACACCGCCCGUCACACCAUGGGAGUGGGUUGCAAAAGAAGUAGGUAGCUUAACCUUCGGGAGGGCGCUUACCACUUUGUGAUUCAUGACUGGGGUGAAGUCGUAACAAGGUAACCGUAGGGGAACCUGCGGUUGGAUCACCUCCUUA
rnacentral:rRNA from 1 species